AGUACACUCCAUCAGCCGGUCACAGGUCUGCCACCCUAGAGCCAUGUGGAUCCAGAACAUGAAGAGGCUUUAACGUCAUAACGUUCUCUUGCAUCUACCUGCCCUUUGCCGGAGCAUGAAUGAGGAAGCACAGCCUCAGUUCUGCCUAAAGCCAUUCUUGACCUUGAGGCAAACCACUGCAAGGAAGAUGAUGCCCAGGGAAUCACCAGGCUCUGGCGGGAACCCUGACUGCACCACAUCUGAAGCCUCCUCACCUUUCAAGCUCUCAGUUUUAAGCAACCAAUAAACCCUCUUUACUGCUGAAGCCAGCGUGGGUUAGGUUUGCUAUAACUUGCUACAGAAGGUCUCCUGGGUGAUUCAAAAGCCUCCUGGUGCACUUGGAAUUGCAUCCAGAUGCCCUACCUUGGCAUUAAAGGCCCACUAAAUUCUAAGAUCAGUGAGUGGUGGGCCAAGAGCUAGAUUUUCAUUGGCCCCGGUAUUACCAGCCCUUGCUAGCAUGAAGCAGGCACUCUGUUAAUUUUUUUCUUUUCUUUUUUCUUUUUUUUUUUUUUUGAAUGAGUGAACCCAGGUCUCUCUCCAGUACAUUAUCUGGAAACAGAAGACUCCCCUGACCCCCCAGUCCUGCUGCAUCUUCUGCUGGAGCCACCUCUGCACACAGGCAGCAGGGGUCAGUGAGGACCAAGGUGCAGGACUGUGCAAACAUGCCCAGGAAGUGGAGCUGGAAUGGUCUGGAAGUCUCACAAGUAGAUCAGCAGGGCCUCUGAGCCAUCAUGGUUUGGGCCAAGAUGCAUGUGACCGUGGGUGCUCUCUCUGUGCGGGAGGAAGAUCCAGCUUCAGGUUUACAAAGCACUUUGGAACAGGCUAUGUCAAAACUGGUCUGAAACUGAAGGCCCGUGCUCAUCCUCCUAAGCCUGCUUCGCUUUCCGUUCUCAACAAAUAGCACUGAUAUCUGCUUCGCACUCAACUGGAAAACACUUGGGAGCUUCAUCCAUGUCUAUUCUGCCCAUAUGCAAAUGUGAGCAAAGGCAGCUGAGGACCUGAGAAAUGUCUCCAGGUUUACAGGAACCAGAAACUCCUGAGACUCCUGGUGACCUAUAGACAACACCGAAACUACGUCAAAAGACUCAAUUACUGCAAGAAUUGGUGCCCACCUGGCUGUGACUAAAAUUAGAUCCUCAGAAACACUUGGUUAUACUUUUGCACCUGAAAACCCCUGGCAAGAUGGAAUUUGGUGACAGCCCUACAUCUUCCACCUGCUAACCUAUUGCCAAACUCUUUCUUCUCCUGUCACCCUGCUUUGGAGUUAUUGGCUUCAUUGGGUGGCAUCAGAACUGGACCUUUCAUGACCACAGGCUCAGUAAAGAUGUAAUGCAAAAAAAAAAAAGAGCCUCAAGGUCUGCAGGCUGAGUUUAAAUCAUAUUUCUCAUCUCAUUUUGUGCAGAUCACUUCAUCUGUGCCUCUGUAUUUCUGCAUAUGUAAAAAUGGGCUUAUAGUACCUGUUGGGUUAAGGUUGUUUUGAAGGUGCAAUAAGAUCACCUGGAAAUAUAUUAACGAUUUGCUUCCUGGC